AUGUUUAAACAACCAGUGACUCUUGAACUUACUACCUCGGGCCUCUAUUGUGUAAACAUUUUGGACAAAGACAUCACACAGAGUCCAUGCAAAAAUGAGAUUCUGACUGACACGGAGCACAUGAACACAAAAGAAAAACACAAAGUAUUGUUACAACUUCACAAACAGUUUGGACAUGCUACAGUUGACAGACUUCAAAAGUCACUCAGGAGUGCAGGGAAUAAUGAUGAUGAGAGUAUUUCCAUUCUACAGCAGAUAGUUAACAGUUGUGAGACAUGUCAACAAUACAGCAAACCUAAGCCCAGACCAGCUGUUGGUUUGCCACUGGCUUCCAAGUACAAUGAAACAGUGGCUGUAGAUCUACAUGAGUUAGGUCCAAGUGUGUGGUACCUUCACAUAAUCGACCACUUCACACGCUUCAGUGCUGGAAGCAUUGUGAAUACAAAGAAACACAGUGAAAUCGUCAAGCACUUCAUUAAUUCCUGGAUAUGUGUGCAUGGCCCGCCCCAGAAAUUGUACAGUGACAAUGGAGGAGAAUUCAAUAAUAAUGAAAUAAGAGAUAUGGCAGAGAACUUCAACAUGGAAGUAAAGACAACUACUGCAUACAGUCGAUGGAGCAAUGGACUUCUGGAGAGACACAAUCAAACACUCACAGAGAUCAUGCUGAAAGUGAAGCAAGACAAUGGAUGUGACUGGAACACAGCCCUAGAUUGGGCUUUUAUGGCAAAAAACUCAAGACAAACAAAGUUGUUCGUAAACCUGAAAUCACAACAAGUGACUUUAAAGUUUCAGCAUGUUGGAAAAGAUGACUCUUUGAAACUAGUUGUCUUCAGUGAUGCUUCGCUAGGGAACCUUACAGAUGUAGGCACACAAGGUGGACAUCUAAUCGUGUUAAUGGGUGAAGGAGGAAGAUUCUCACCUAUCUGUUGGCAGUCAAAAAGGAUCAGAAGGGUUGUCCGAAGCACACUUGCUGGAGAAACACUUGCUCUUGCGGAUGGAAUUGACAAUGAGAUCUUUCUUGCAACUCUGUUCUCAGAGCUUACCACUGGUGAGACAAAACGGCACAUUCUCCCUGUAGUUUGUGUCACUGACAACUACUCAUUAGUUGAUGCUGUGAAAUCAACCAAGUCUGUCACAGAGAAAAGACUUCGUCUUGAGAUUAGCAGCAUCAAGGAACUUAUUCAAGCACAGAGAAUCCAGCGGAUUCUGUGGUCGACCACAAAGGAACAGCUUGCUGACUGUCUGACUAAAAAAGGAGCAUCCGCUCUUGUGCUCCUACAGGCUCUCAGUAAUGGAAAGUGGACUCUAUCUCUACUGCAGAGAUAG
rnacentral:lncRNA from 1 species